CCCGCUGAACUUAAGCAUAUCAAUAAGCGGAGGAAAAGAAACUAACAAGGAUUCCCCUAGUAACGGCGAGUGAAGCGGGAACAGCUCAAAUUUGAAAUCUCACAGGCAUGCCUGUGUGAAUUGUAGUUUAGAGAAGCGUCUUCAGGGGUGGCUUGGGUAUAAGUCCUCUGGAAUGGGGCAUCAUAGAGGGUGAGAAUCCCGUUUAUGAUCCAUUGCCCACUCUGUUGUGAUACGCUUUCCAAGAGUCAGGUAGUUUGGGAUUGCUGCCUAAAAUGGGUGGUAAAUACCAUCUAAAGCUAAAUAUUGGCGAGAGACCGAUAGCGAACAAGUACCGUGAGGGAAAGAUGAAAAGAACUUUGAAAAGAGAGUUAAACAGUACGUGAAAUUGCCAAAAGGGAAACGCUUGGAGCCAGUAUUGCGUGCAUGCAAUCAGCCACCCAGCCGGAAACGGUCAGUGUGGUGCACUUGUGUGUAUGCAGGUCAACAUCAGUUUGACCUUGGGUAAAAAGCUGUGCGAAGGUAGCUUGGGCUUCGGCCUGAGUGUUAUAGCGCACGGUCAUGCCCAGGAUUAGACUGAGGUCUGCAGCGUGAAUUGGGUACCUGGCUGCCUCCUAAAUCUCGUCUCUGGACAGCUCGCUGACUAGGGAUGGGGCUAGGGAGCCCGGUCGGCUUGCCACACCAACGCUUGGGAUGUUGACGAAAUGGCUUCAAACGACCCGUCUUGAAACACGG
rnacentral:rRNA from 1 species